GACGAACGCUGGCGGCGUGCCUAAUACAUGCAAGUUGAGCGCUGAAGGUUGGUACUUGUACCGACUGGAUGAGCAGCGAACGGGUGAGUAACGCGUGAGGAAUCUGCCUUUGAGCGGGGGACAACAUUUGGAAACGAAUGCUAAUACCGCAUAAAAACUUUAAACACAAGUUUUAAGUUUGAAAGAUGCAAUUGCAUCACUCAAAGAUGAUCCCGCGUUGUAUUAACUAGUUGGUGAGGUAAAGGCUCACCAAGGCGAUGAUACAUAGCCGACCUGGGAGGGUGAUCGGCCACAUUGGGACUGAGACACGGCCCAAACUCCUACGGGAGGCAGCAGUAGGGAAUCUUCGGCAAUGGACGAAAGUCUGACCGAGCAACGCCGCGUGAGUGAAGAAGGUUUUCGGAUCGUAAAACUCUGUUGGUAGAGAAGAACGUUGGUGAGAGUGGAAAGCUCAUCAAGUGACGGUAACUACCCAGAAAGGGACGGCUAACUACGUGCCAGCCGCCGCCGUAA
rnacentral:rRNA from 1 species